rnacentral:rRNA from 1 species
UACGGGGGGGAGCAAGCGUUGUUCGGAUUUACUGGGCGUAAAGGGCGCGUAGGCGGCCACUGCAAGUCAGUUGUGAAAUCUCCGGGCUUAACCCGGAAAGGUCAACUGAUACUGCAGGGCUAGAGUGCAGAAGGGGCAACUGGAAUUCUCGGUGUAGCGGUGAAAUGCGUAGAUAUCGAGAGGAACACCUGCGGCGAAGGCGGGUUGCUGGGCUGACACUGACGCUGAGGCGCGAAGCCAGGGGAGCGAACGGG